AACGAACGCUGGCGGCGUGCUUAACACAUGCAAGUCGCGCGAGAAAGUGGGGGCAACUCCAUGAGUACAGCGGCGCACGGGUGAGUAAUACGUAGGUAACCUACCCUUGAGACCGGGAUAACCUUCCGAAAGGAGGGCUAAUACUGGAUAAGACCACGGGGCCUAGGCUCUGUGGUUAAAGGUGGCCCUCUGCUCGCAAGCUACCACUCGAAGAUGGGCCUGCGCACCAUUAGC
rnacentral:rRNA from 1 species